CUACCAACAUUCUUUCAUUGGUAGUAGUAGUAGAUAUUAGCAUUUCAUCCCAUGGAGGAUUGUGUUGAGAUAAUCAAGAAGCAGGCUUCCUGUGUCCAAAUCCUCCUUCUUCAGAAAAACCAAGGGAGAAUGACCAGGAUAUUUCACCCCCUGGAAUAUCUGAAGGGGUUAUGCCCUUUAGUGGUGUGGAGAAAAUGAAGGAAAAAAAGUGAACCAAGAACUGAACAAUGCCAUCACAGAGCAAGUCUCAUUGCAGGACAAAAAUUUAAAAAGGAACAUGGGAAAGAAAAAUAUGAGAAUGCUAAGAAGAGCUCAGUGCACGAUACAAGAUAAGCUAAUGUAAAACACACUUAUUGCGAAGUACAAUGAAUGAACAAUUUUGAUUAGGCGUAGUUCAUUAUAUCCAUUAAGUUCACAGCAAUAUUCUAAAAUUUAAGGAAAUGAAAAUCACUAUAACCAUGAAUUCAUUAUAAGCAUCUCUGCUGUAAUACAAAGUCAUCAGAGAUUGGUACACUGUAUUUUCAAGAUAAUUUAUAAUUUUUGUAUAAUACAAAUUUUGAAUUUUCCUUAAAUGGGAAGAUUUAUUAAUGUAAAGUUUAUUUGAAUGACAUUUUGUUGUCCAUCAAAAUGUUAAGAAAAACUGCCUUUGAAUGUUAUAUAAAUUGAUACUAAG